GAUGAACGCUGGCGGCGUGCCUAAUACAUGCAAGUCGAGCGAACGGACGAGAAGCUUGCUUCUCUGAUGUUAGCGGCGGACGGGUGAGUAACACGUGGAUAACCUACCUAUAAGACUGGGGUAACUUCGGGAAACCGGAGCUAAUACCGGAUAAUAUUUUGAACCGCAUGGUUCAAAAGUGAAAGACGGUCUUGCUGUCACUUAUAGAUGGAUCCGCGCUGCAUUAGCUAGUUGGUAAGGUAACGGCUUACCAAGGCAACGAUGCAUAGCCGACCUGAGAGGGGGGUCCGGCCACCCGGAACCUGGACACGGUCCCGAAUCCUAAGGGGAGGAGCAGUAGGGAAUCUUCCGCAAUGGGCGAAAGCCUGACGGAGCAACGCCGCGUGAGUGAUGAAGGUCUUCGGAUCGUAAAACUCUGUUAUUAGGGAAGAACAUAUGUGUAAGUAACUGUGCACAUCUUGACGGUACCUAAUCAGAAAGCCACGGCUAACUACGUG
rnacentral:rRNA from 1 species